rnacentral:lncRNA from 1 species
CCAAAGUCUAGUGGGCAAAGUCUAGUCGUCCUUCAGUCCCGAAAGGGGGAGUAGGGAUUGGUCCAACAUUCUCUUGCUCAAGUUGUUUGAGACGAAACAGGCAAAGUUCAUUAGACAGCCACCCAAAGGUGGGCAGAAGCACCUGCGUCUGCUGCUCCUGUUCCUUCUUCUCUUAGGUGUCCUUCAUGUUGGAGGGCCUAGAAACUCAAUAAACUGUGGGACACUUGCAAGAGGUUUUUUUCAUCAGUCUGGGAUUACAGGAGCUCCAGCCAGUUUUAUUUUGCCAAGUGGUGCGUAAUGGUGCAGUGACAGGAGGGCAUUAUAUAUGGUUCAAAUGCACUGUGGAAAAGGGAAGAUGGAUUUGUUCCUGGUUCUCAGGCAUUUAUUUCUGCAUACUGGUCUUCCAAGCGAUGCUCUUGAAAAUAGGAGCAAGAAUGUAGCAGCAAUCAACCUGAAAAACAAUGUGCAAUCAUUUGAAGUGUCUGAACCCAGGGCUAAAAUGAAGGGCCCAGACCUAAUUCUUCAGGAAAUGUGUUGUUUUGUCUUGGAGUUGAAGCAGUAAACAUAAAGUAUAUUUUAUAUGAACACAUAUCAAUGCAAACUGCAUUCUGUGUCAAAAACAUGGGUUGCUUUAUCUAAGUGAAAAGGCUUUGUUUUCUGUUUGAAAAUGACAAUGAGAAUUUUGGAUGGAAACUGAGAAGAGAACAGUAAGCCAUAUCAGUAACAGUGCUGAUCACAGCUGAAGUGUAUGUUACCAAGGUGACCACACUUACAGACUCAUGCUGAACUCAUCAGUAAUCAAGAGUUUAACUAGCAACAUCUCUAAAAGUUACAUUUCUGCCUUGGCUAAAAUAAAAAAG